rnacentral:rRNA from 1 species
GACGAACGCUGGCGGCGUGCCUAAUACAUGCAAGUCGAACGCAGUGGGGAUGGGUGAGUAACACGUGGGUAACCUCCCAUCAGAGGGGAUAACACUUGGAAACAGGUGCUAAACCGAUACUGAUGGAUGGACCCGCGGUGCAUUAGCUAGUUGGUGGGGUAACGGCUCACCAAGGCCACGAUGCAUAGCCGACCUGAGGGGGUGAUCGGCCACACUGGGAGUGAGACAGGCCCCAGCCCCCCACGGGGGGCAGCAGUAGGGAAUUUCCGGAAAUGGACGAAAGCUUGACCGAGCAACGCCGCGUGAGUGAAGAGGGUUUUCGGUUCGUAAAACUCUUUUGUUAGAGAAACGGUAUCUAACCAGAAAGCCACGGCUAACUCCGUGCCAGAAGCCGCGGUAAUA